AACGAACGCUGGCGGCAGGCCUAACACAUGCAAGUCGAGCGCACCUUCGGGUGAGCGGCGGACGGGUUAGUAACGCGUGGGAACGUACCCUUUUCUACGGAAUAGCCUUUGGAAACGAAGAGUAAUACCGUAUACGCCCUUUGGGGGAAAGAUUUAUCGGAGAAGGAUCGGCCCGCGUUAGAUUAGAUAGUUGGUGGGGUAACGGCCUACCAAGUCUACGAUCUAUAGCUGGUUUUAGAGGAUGAUCAGCAACACUGGGACUGAGACACGGCCCAGACUCCUACGGGAGGCAGCAGUGGGGAAUCUUAGACAAUGGGCGCAAGCCUGAUCUAGCCAUGCCGCGUGAGUGAUGAAGGCCUUAGGGUCGUAAAGCUCUUUCGCCUGUGAUGAUAAUGACAGUAGCAGGUAAAGAAACCCCGGCUAACUCCGUGCCAGCAGCCGCGGUAAUACGGAGGGGGUUAGCGUUGUUCGGAAUUACUGGGCGUAAAGCGCACGUAGGCGGAUUGGAAAGUUGGUGGUGAAAUCCCGGGGCUCAACCCCGGAACUGCCUCCAAAACUAUCAGUCUAGAGUUCGAGAGAGGUGAGUGGAAUUCCAAGUGUAGAGGUGAAAUUCGUAGAUAUUUGGAGGAACACCAGUGGCGAAGGCGGCUCACUGGCUCGAUACU
rnacentral:rRNA from 1 species